CAUUUUUAAACGGUGCAAAUUAGCACGGAUGUAAAGCGAGUCUAGAAUUCUUUUAAUCUGAGAGCGCGAAACCCCCAUGUGGAUCUUCCGUAGCCUUCCUUCUGAUCUGCGAG
rnacentral:snoRNA from 1 species